GUGUCAGCCGCCGCGGUAAUACGAAGGGGGCUAGCGUUGUUCGGAAUUACUGGGCGUAAAGGGCGCGUAGGCGGCCGAUUAAGUUAGAUGUGAAAGUCCUGGGCUCAACCUGGGGACUGCAUUUAAUACUGGUUGGCUUGAAUUCGGGAGAGGAUAGCGGAAUUCCCAGUGUAGAGGUGAAAUUCGUAGAUAUUGGGAAGAACACCGGUGGCGAAGGCGGCUAUCUGGACCGACAUUGACGCUGAGGCGCGAAAGCGUGGGGAGCAAACAGGAUUAGAUACCCCCGUAGUCC
rnacentral:rRNA from 1 species